rnacentral:rRNA from 1 species
UACGGGGGGGGCAAGCGUUGUUCGGAAUUACUGGGCGUAAAGGGCUCGUAGGCGGCCAACUAAGUCAAACGUGAAAUCCCUCGGCUUAACCGGGGAACUGCGCUUGAUACUGGAUGGCUUGAGAUUGGGAGAGGGAUGCGGAAUUCCAGGUGUAGCGGUGAAAUGCGUAGAUAUCUGGAGGAACACCGGUGGCGAAGGCGGCGUCCUGGACCAACACUGACACUGAGGAGCGAAAGCCAGGGGAGCAAACGGG